GAUACAGAACGCUAUACUUGCUACCUAACAUAAUAUUCUGGUCAACCACUCAACGGGAUCUCUGGACCAGAGUCUGCCUCACCGUGGACACCGUGAAGGGUGUGGUCCAGAUGUUUAGCGGCUGGAGCAUUAGCGUCAGGAAGAAGCUGCCUUUUCAGUAUGACUUGGUCUGGUGAGCCUGUGAUUGAUUUUCCAGGUUUUGAUGGUCAGUUGACAGACGUCCAGGUCUGGGAUUAUCCUCUCAACUACAACGAAAUCUACAACUACAUGACCAGCUGGUCGUCAUACCGCGGCUCCGUCCUCACCUGGUCCUCCAUCAGCUACUCUCCCAGAGGAAACACGCUGUUGGAGGACACCUUCGACAGGCAGGCAAAACGGCCAAUCAGCAGCAGGGGGAAAGGACAUCGACCAAAGGGGGAGAAGAAGACGAGAGCGUCGGUCAAUGGGGGGGAAAGGAAAAAGGGAAAGAGACAACAGAUUUAAUGGAACAUACAGGUUUAGUUUCACUGUGACAUGAAUGCUGUUGUUUCAUCCUGGUUCACAGCGGUUGUGUAGCACAGAGUCUUCUAGAUAGGCCAUUGUGUGAAUGUUUUAUUACAAUUCUGUAUGCAUAGAAGCAAACAAUGCCAUGAAAUACACUCAGCUUCAAGUUACAAUAAAUAGACAGCUUAUGUGAAAAAAAAGUCAGUUUCAUUACAUAAAGCUUCUGAUACUUUUCUCCCAACUGUCCUUCAGGUCACCAGAGUGGUUCAUUGAAGUGGUUUUAUGGCUUCAAUAAAAACAAAAACAGUGUCAAGGAAACAAAAUAAGGCGCAGUAUUGCAACCUAAUGGCUGUAUGUGCUUGUAUCAGCGUACGUUGACAUUUUGAAUUUGUAGUGUUUAUAUUUCUUUUCUCCAACAGCACUUGGCUCAAAUAUUGGCUCAAAUAUUUUGGCACUUAACCUUAAAAGUACUGUUAGCAUUAAAAAGUGAAGAUAGCCACAUGCUAUUGUGAACUUUUAUUCACUAACACCACUGGGUAACAGCCAGAUCUAACAAACUAGCAACUGCAAUGACUAUAAGUAAGGAAAUUUGAAAAUAGAUGAUUGAUUGAUUGAUGAUUGAAGUACAGUCACAGUACACUUUUGUGAAAUACUUUGUAUGUUAUGAUACCCAUUAAAAUGAUCAGUGUUGCGUCUUAAAAGUGUAUUUUUGUGAUUGCACUGAUUUCUUCUGUCUGUUCUUGAUGAUAAAAUGUCUUCUUCGGGGGAAAACCACAAAUGAAAAUAUUGGAUUCAGCCGUUACUGCAGGUAAACAUGUAAUUACUCUGGCAGUGGGGCAAAGUAAUUAAGUUUAAUUAUUCAAAUACUUAAUAAUUUUGAGGUUAUUUUAUACUACAGGGAUAUAUUUAAUGUUUUACUCCAUUAUAUUUGUUAACCUUUGUUACUAGUUACUUUGCAGAUUCAGAUUAAUAAUACAAAAUAGAAUAACCCAUAAAUAAACAAAUAAAUUAUGAUGUAUUAUUAUUAUAGGUUAAACUUGGGGUUGAACUCACAAGCUACCCAGCAGGAUAUAAAGUAAUAAAAAUGAUCUCUACCUUAACCAGCUGCAACAUGAAAGUGAUGUACACAUUAAUUUAAAUUCAUUAUUAAUACAAUAUUAUAAUAUACAUUAUUCUGCAUUAUGAGUACUUUUACUUUUGGUACUUUUUGAUGCUACUUCUUUUGUAUUUUUAGUAAAAAUAUUUGAGAACUUCUUCCAACACUGCUUUAAAGAAGAAAUCUGUCAGUACAGUUUAGCCACAGAUUAUUGGUCAUAAAGAAAUAUUCUACCAUAGCUAACAUAAGCAGAUACUGUAAAAAAUAUUUUAUUAUUUCAAUGUAAUAUGGGAUUUUGCUUAAUCAUCCGAUAUCAAUGCUUUCUGGCUCUCCUAAUUACAUUAUAAUCACGUUUUUUGAGCAUGUAUACGUAGCCAUUAACAUCAAUAAAUUGGUUAAAUUCGCAAAAUAACUAA